rnacentral:rRNA from 1 species
AUUGAACGCUGGCGGCAGGCCUAACACAUGCAAGUCGAGCGAGUGGCGGACGGGUUAGUAAUGCUUGGGAAUCUGGCUUAUGGAGGGGGAUAACGACUGGAAACUGUCGCUAAUACCGCGUACCCUCUGAUGAGCCCAAGUGGGAUUAGGUAGUUGGUGGGGUAAUGGCCUACCAAGCCGAGGAUCUCUAGCUGGGCUGAGAGGAUGACCAGCCACACCGGGACUGAGACACGGCCCGGACUCCUACGGGAGGCAGCAGUGGGGAAUAUUGCGCAAUGGGGGCAACCUGACGCAGCCAUGCCGCGUGAAUGAAGAAGGCCUUCGGGUUGUAAAGUUCUUUCGGUGACGAGGCGUUAAUCACAGAAGAAGCACCGGCUAACUCCGUGCCAGCAGCCGCGGUAAUUC